rnacentral:rRNA from 1 species
GAUGAACGCUGGCUACAGGCUUAACACAUGCAAGUCGAGGGGAAACGACGGGGAAGCUUGCUUCCCCGGGCGUCGACCGGCGCACGGGUGAGUAACGCGUAUCCAACCUGCCUCUGACUGAGGGAUAACCCGUCGAAAGUCGGCCUAAUACCUCAUGGUAUCGUCUGCGGGCAUCCAACGACGAUUAAAGAUUUCAUCGGUCAGGGAUGGGGAUGCGUCUGAUUAGCUUGUUGGCGGGGAAACGGCCCACCAAGGCUACGAUCAGUAGGGGUUCUGAGAGGAAGGUCCCCCACAUUGGAACUGAGACACGGUCCAAACUCCUACGGGAGGCAGCAGUGAGGAAUAUUGGUCAAUGGGCGAGAGCCUGAACCAGCCAAGUAGCGUGCAGGAAGACGGCCCUAUGGGUUGUAAACUGCUUUUAUGCGGGGAUAAAGUGAGGGACGUGUCCCUCAUUGCAGGUACCGCAUGAAUAAGGACCGGCUAAUUCCGUG